CCUACGGGUGGCAGCAGUGAGGAAUAUUGGUCAAUGGGCGUAAGCCUGAACCAGCCAAGUCGCGUGCGGGAUGAAGGUUCUAUGGAUCGUAAACCUCUUUUAUAAGGGCAUAAAGUGUGGGACGUGUCCUAUUUUGUAUGUACCUUAUGAAUAAGGAUCGGCUAACUCCGUGCCAGCAGCCGCGGUAAUACGGAGGAUCCGAGCGUUAUCCGGAUUUAUUGGGUUUAACGGGUGCGUAGGCGGCCUUUUAAGUCAGCGGUGAAAGUCUGUGGCUCAACCAUAGAAUUGCAGUUGAAACUGGGGGGCUUGAGGAUGUUUGAGGCAGGCGGAAUGCGUGGUGUAGCGGUGAAAUGCUGAGAUAUCACGCAGAACCCCGAUUGCGAGGGCAGCCUGCCAAGCCAUGACUGACGCUGAUGCACGAAAGCGUGGGGAUCAAACAGGAUUAGAUACCCUAGUAGUC
rnacentral:rRNA from 1 species